rnacentral:rRNA from 1 species
CAAUAGCGUAUACUAAAGUUGUUGCGAUUAAAAAGCUCGUAGUUGGAUCUCAGGCAUGGGCGCACGGUCCGCCUCGCGGCGGUCGCUGUGUGUUUUGUUUCCCAUCCUACGCUUCCCGGUUAUCAGCCCAUGGUGCUCUUCACUGAGCGUUUUGGGUGGCCGGAACGUUUACUUUGAAGAAAUUAGAGUGUUCAAAGCAGGCACGUCGCCUGAAUAAUGGUGCAUGGAAUAAUGGAAUAGGACCUCGGUUCUAUUUUGCUGGUUUUCGGAACACGAGGUAAUGAUUAAGAGGGACAGACGGGGGCAUCCGUAUUGCGGUGUUAGAGGUGAAAUUCUUGGAUCAUCGCAAGACGAACAACUGCGAAAGCAUUUGCCAAGCAUGUUUUCAUUAG